rnacentral:rRNA from 1 species
CCUACGGGGUGCAGCAGUGGGGGAUAUUGCACAAUGGGGGAAACCCUGAUGCAGCGACGCCGCGUGUGGGAAGACGGUCCUCUGGAUUGUAAACCACUGUCCCCAGGGACGAAGAUGACGGUACCUGGGGAGGAAGCUCCGGCUAACUACGUGCCAGCAGCCGCGGUAAUACGGAGGGAGCGAGCGUUGUCCGGAAUUACUGGGUGUAAAGGGCGGGUAGGCGGGGAUGCAAGUUGGGUGUCAAAACUACCGGCUCAACUGGUAGUCGCACUCAAAACUGCAGCUCGUGAGUGAAGUAGAGGCAGGCGGAAUUCCUAGUGGAGCGGUGAAAUGCGUAGAUAUUAGGAGGAACACCAGUGGCGAAGGCGGCCUGCUGGGCUUUUACUGACGCUGAGGCUCGAAAGUGUGGGGAGCAAACAGGAUUAGAAACCCCGGUAGUC